GAUGAACGCUAGCGGGAGGCCUAACACAUGCAAGCCGAGCGGUAGAGUUUCUUCGGAAACUUGAGAGCGGCGCACGGGUGCGUAACACGUGUGCAACCUACCUUUAUCUGGGGGAUAGCCUUUCGAAAGGAAGAUUAAUACCCCAUAAUAUAAUGAUUGGCAUCAAUUAUUAUUGAAAACUCCGGUGGAUAGAGAUGGGCACGCGCAAGAUUAGAUAGUUGGUGAGGCAACGGCUCACCAAGUCAAUGAUCUUUAGGGGUCCUGAGAGGGAGAUCCCCCACACUGGUACUGAGACACGGACCAGACUCCUACGGGAGGCAGCAGUGAGGAAUAUUGAACAAUGGGUGAGAGCCUGAUCCAGCCAUCCCGCGUGAAGGAUGACGGUCCUAUGGAUUGUAAACUUCUUUUGUACAGGGAUAAACCUACACUCGUGAGGGUAGCUGAAGGUACUGUAAGAAUAAGCACCGGCUAACUCCGUG
rnacentral:rRNA from 1 species